GAUGAACGCUGGCGGCGUGCCUAAUACAUGCAAGUCGAGCGAACAGACGAGGAGCUUGCUCCUCUGACGUUAGCGGCGGACGGGUGAGUAACACGUGUAUAACCUACCUAUAAUACUGGGAUAACUUCGGGAAACCGGAGCUAAUACCGGAUAAUAUAUUGAACCGCAUGGUUCAAUAGUGAAAGACGGUUUUGCUGUCACUUAUAGAUGGAUCCGCGCCGCAUUAGCUAGUUGGUAAGGUAACGGCUUACCAAGGCAACGAUGCGUAGCCGACCUGAGAGGGUGAUCGGCCACACUGGAACUGAGACACGGACCAGACUCCUACGGGAGGCAGCAGUAGGGAAUCUUCCGCAAUGGACGAAAGCCUGACGGAGCAACGCCGCGUGAGUGAUGAAGGUCUUCGGAUCGUAAAACUCUGUUAUUAGGGAAGAACAAAUGUGUAAGUAACUAUGCACGUCUUGACGGUAACUAAUCAGAAAGCAACGGCUAACUACGUG
rnacentral:rRNA from 1 species